GACGAACGCUGGCGGCGUGCCUAAUACAUGCCAGUUGAGCGCUGAAGGUUGGUACUUGUACCAACUGGAUGAGCAGCGAACGGGUGAGUAACGCGUGGGGAAUCUGCCUUUGAGCGGGGGACAACAUUUGGAAACGAAUGCUAAUACCGCAUAAAAACUUUAAACACAAGUUUUAAGUUUGAAAGAUGCAAUUGCAUCACUCAAAGAUGAUCCCGCGUUGUAUUAGCUAGUUGGUGAGGUAAAGGCUCACCAAGGCGAUGAUACAUAGCCGACCUGAGAUGGUGAUCGGCCACAUUGGGACUGAGACACGGCCCAAACUCCUACGGGAGGCAGCAGUAGGGAAUCUUCGGCAAUGGACGAAAGUCUGACCGAGCAACGCCGCGUGAGUGAAGAAGGUUUUCGGAUCGUAAAACUCUGUUGGUAGAGAAGAACGUUGGUGAGAGUGGAAAGCUCAUCAAGUGACGGUAACUACCCAGAAAGGGACGGCUAACUACGUG
rnacentral:rRNA from 1 species